rnacentral:rRNA from 1 species
UGUGACCAUACCAAACUGUUGCCUCGGCGGGGUCACGCCCCGGGUGCGUCGCAGCCCCGGAACCAGGCGCCCGCCGGAGGGACCAACCAAACUCUUUUCUGUAGUCCCCUCGCGGACGUUAUUUCUUACAGCUCUGAGCAAAAAUUCAAAAUGAAUCAAAACUUUCAACAACGGAUCUCUUGGUUCUGGCAUCGAUGAAGAACGCAGCGAAAUGCGAUAAGUAAUGUGAAUUGCAGAAUUCAGUGAAUCAUCGAAUCUUUGAACGCACAUUGCGCCCGCCAGUAUUCUGGCGGGCAUGCCUGUCCGAGCGUCAUUUCAACCCUCGAACCCCUCCGGGGGGUCGGCGUUGGGGACCUCGGGAGCCCCUAAGACGGGAUCCCGGCCCCGAAAUACAGUGGCGGUCUCGCCGCAGCCUCUCCUGGCGCGGCGCGUCCACGUCCGUAAAACACCCAACUUCUGAAAUCGCAGUAGUUUGCACAACUCGCACCGGGA